rnacentral:tRNA from 1 species
UCCCCAGUGGCGCAAUUGGUUAGCGCACGGUACUUAUAAUGCCAGGGUUGUGAGUUCGAGCCUCACCUGGGGAA